CUGCCCUAAAAGAAUCCCGAGGGGAGCUGUAUACCAAUAUCAACCACCUUCUUCACAAAGACAGAUUUACUAAAUACAUCUGUUCAAAAGAAAUGAGGACACAUUGAUAAGCCUAAUUCCUUUUAAUAGAAUGGUUAGACUAAUGACUUCCCAUCCACAGUUUGAUCAUUGAUAAAAUCAUAGCAAAUACUGAUGGCUUGGGUAGCAUACAUGGUUUUGGAUCAUUUUGCAACUAGUAAUUUUAAACUUCCAUUAAUAACCUCAAGUUUUCGGCUAAUAUUUGAACUCAGAAGAUAGGAAACAAACUUGUGUAUGCAAUUUGUAAUUUUUCAGGACAUCUAUGUGCAAAGGAAGAUCUCCACAAAAUUCUCAACUAGCGGUACCCUCGCCUUUGCCUCGAUGCAUAGCCUCUAAACAUUCUUUAGCCCUGUGAACUUUUGACUGAAUGUAAAAGCUUCCAUUUUUGGCAUUCCUCUCAAAUAGCGUCUCAUAUUUCUUCACUAUCUCCUCCCAUGCAGUUUCCUCGGUCACACCAAGAAUCUGCCGGGCUUCUUGCUCUGUCAUGAUUUUGCUUCCUCUACGGAUUGUGUUUUGAAUCGUCUCUUGAGCAACACCAGAUUUUGAGGCAUUUGCAAGUGCUUGCCGGUAGGAUUGAACAAAAGCCCGAGCUAAAAUACCUGAGCCCAUUACAAUUAAGUUGGCAAGAAUUUUAGCUGCCAUAGCUGAANNNNNNNNNNNNGCCGUUGCCGGAGCUUGAGGAUGCCGGAUUUGGUGAGAUGGUAAAUCAGUAAGAACCAAAG
rnacentral:misc_RNA from 1 species